GUUAAUGUAGCUUAACAAUAAAGCAAAGCACUGAAAAUGCUUAGAUGGAUUACUCCAAUCCCAUGAA
rnacentral:tRNA from 1 species